rnacentral:lncRNA from 1 species
UUGGAGAAAUUGGGAUGUGUUGUGUAGACCAAAGUGUGUUGGUGGGCUGGGUUUCAAAAAUAUGCGUUGGUUUAAUAAAUCAUUAUUAGCAAAGCAAGUGUGGCGUCUCUUAUCCCAGGCCAAUUGCCUUUUGGCCAAAGUCCUUAAAGCUCGUUGUUAUCCACAUUCAGAUAUUUUAUCAGCCAAGAUAAGUUCUUACCCUUCAUUUACCUGGCGCAGUAUUUGCAACGCUCAUGAUUUGAUUGCUGAUGGAGUUUUGUGGAGAAUUGGUAAUGGUAUUAAGGUUAACAUUUGGAAUGACCCCCGGUUGCUUGGAGUGGAAAACAACAGAAUAUCAGGGCAUUGUAUUAAUCCUCGAUGGACGAUUGUUAAUCAAUUAAUUGAUUCGGAGACAAAUACCUGGAAUAAAGGACUUAUUUCCAGUCUUGUAGAUGAAGAUCAGGCGCAACGUAUUCUGUCCAUUCCGAUUGUUGAGUCAUCAAAGGAGGAUUUGCUGGUGUAGAAGUAUGAAGGUUCGGGCGAGUAUACGGUUAAAAGUGGAUACAGAGUUCUUACUACUGCCUAUUUACAGGACACCAAUUUCAUCAACUUUACUGAUGAUAGAUACAAGAUUUUCUACAAGUCUUUGUGGUCUAUUAACAUCCCGGAGAAAAUCAAAAUACAUAUUUGGAGGCUAUUUAAUAAUUUUUUCCUCACUACAGUAACUUAGUGUUAAGAAGGUUGAGGACUGAUUCUGUUUGUCCGCUUUGCAGGGAAGCAUCAGAAACCACGGAUCAUUUGUUGUGGUCUUGCGAUCUUCUUCAAAGUGUAUGAGCUUCCCUUCAAAUUAAAACUGCUUCUGUUGACAGCACAUCCAACUAUAAGUUUUGUUUUGUCAAAAAUUUUAUUGAAGCAAAUGAGCAGAGCAAACAAAUUAUUGCAAUAUCUAUCUGGACCAUGUGGUACAGGAGAAACCAUUUGAUACAUGAGGGCACUAAAUUUUCUAUACAGGAAGUGCUUGGUUUCAUUAAAGGAUAUGUUCAGGAAAUAAAGUUUUGCAAAAAAAAUCUCGGUGGCAUUGAUGUUUUUCUGAAAAAUGGGUUUUGGAAGCCUCCAGGUUUGGGAUUUAUCAAGAUUAAUUUUGACGCUACCUUUCAAAGUGAUUCUAGGACAUCUAUUGUAGCAGCUUUGGCCAGAGACGCAAGAGGGGAAAUUAGAGGAGCUGUAACUUAUCUGAUUGAGGAUGUAGCUGAUGCGUUCAUUGCUGAAGCAAGGGCAUGUGAAAGGUCCUUAUUGUUUGCGCGUCUGAUGGGUUUCAGGUGUUUGGAAGUGGAAGGGGAUUCUCUGACCGUGAUUAAAAAACUGCAAGCAAGAAUUAAUGAUAAAUCUAUUCUCAGAUCUAUUAUCAUUCACAUUCGAGAAUUAGAACACUAUUUUGAUAAGGUGGUUUACCUGUUUGUUCCUCGUUCUGUUAAUGCUGCAGCCUAUGCUUUGGCAGCGGAAGGGCGAAGAAGCAGAAGAUCUGGGCUAUGGAAUGAUGGCAUUCCGACUUCAUUAUCGAGUGUUUUGGAAAGGGAUCGGAAGAGUUCGAUAGAGACGAUUCAAAGUAUGUCUUAGUUUGCUUUGUAGUGGAGAAGGUUCUCUGAAUUUCCAUAUUUGGGUUCAAAGCAUUUGGGUUUUCUUCCUAUAUCAGAACUGAUUGUUACACGAAGAAGGAAACUGGCUUUGACUGAUAUUUGUGGGUUUUAUCUUUUGUUUGAAGGCCAGAGUAGUUCUGGUUUUUGAGUUUGUGGUUUUUGAAGUUCCUGUGUGCGCAUUAAUGGUUUUUGGACGAUUGGUCUGCUUUUCUCUUUUGUUUUAUUGCUGUUUGGUUUUAUUUUAUGUUGUUUUUGUGGGUUUUGUUUUUUAUCGGGGAGUUGAUUGUGAUGUAACCUCUGGCAUUUUGAGCAAUUUUUAAUAAUAUCAGUCUUUUCAUUUCAAAAAAAUGAAAAAUAUUCAAAGGGGAAAAUAUCACAUAUAAUUGAACUUUAUGCACUAAUCAACAAG